AUUAGUAAAAUGUAGUUUGUGCAAGAUCCAUGGUUUACUUUGUGUCCUCAGGAGAAGAGAUACUUUGGUGGCACCUGCCAUUGCUUUGUUGAACAGUUCAGUCGCUGACUUUGAUACAUUAAAGGUUCUUCACCUUCUUCCUGACAACUGGUCCAUUGGACUUCUGUCUCAAUUCCUGACGCGAGCUAUGCGGAUGGGCAUGCACAACUACAGAAUGACCCGGAUACAGAGAAUGAUGGCCAGGGGAGAGAACUUGUUAGUGAAGCAAAAUUUCAUUGAGAUGCAAAGGGAGGCAAUUGUCAUGAACGAUGAAAAAACGUGUGCUGUUUGUAAUAGAGCUUUCAAUGACUCAACAUUUGUGCGCUAUCCAAACGGAGUUAUAACCCAUGUCCAUUGUGCCAAGAAUAAGUAUGUUUGUCCUGUAUCUGGGAAACUCUUCAGCGUUGGCAAAAGAUGACAGAGCGGGUGAUGACGCUUUAUGUUUGUAUAGCAGAAUUUAUAGACAAGAAUUUAUAGUAAUGACACUGGCUAGCAUUUAUGGACACACAGUCUUCAAAUGAUUGGUCAAUGACAUUGUUAAAUUAUUAUACUCAAUUGUUCUUCACCACUAACUAUUAAAAAAUGCAUUUUGUUAUUCACCGAUAUUUGUUACAAAACAUUUGUUACAAAAGUAGCUCCCAUUAAGAAUCCUAGUCUAACUAGUUUAAUUAGUUACGAUAGUGACUUUUAGUAGUAAGCCUGUUGUAAACAUUUUUUUCUGUGUUGAUUCAUUUGUAAUCUUUGUCUAGUCUAGUUGACUAUGGUCAACUGCAAUCAGUGUGGUAAUCUGACUGUAAAAUUGUAGAGGUUCUUAUGCUGGACAUUCUCUUGAGUCAACAGUACUAAAUUUAUGAUCUCUUAGCAGCGUCUUCUUUUUCUUCCUUCUUAUUUUUUCAUGUCCAAGAGUUCAGACCAGUAUUCCUAUAUCUGAGAUGAACCGCGCAGUGGUUUCCAGAUCAGGCAGUUCUCCAUACAGUCCAUUUCUCUAUUGGAGGGUUUUGGGGGCCAGACUCAACAUAAUGUUAUGGCAUGAUUAGCAAUUAAUUAAUAGUUUCUUCCUUCUUAUUUUUUCAUGUCCAGGAGUUCAGACCAGUAUUCCUAUAUCUGAGAUGAACCGCGCAGUGGUUUCCAGAUCAGGCAGUUCUCCAUACAGUCCAUUUCUCUAUUGGCGGGUUUUGGGGCCAGACUCAACAUAAUGUUAUGGCAUGAUUAGCAAUUAAUUAUUUGUUUCGGAAAUAGGGGAAGUGACAAUGACAUGACUAGUAAAACAAGGAUAGGGUUUUAGAGACAGAACAAAAUAGAAGUCGGCGUAAUUAGACUACUUUCAGUACAACGUAGAAACAAGUAGCAUUUUAUAAACGUAGAGAGGUAGAUGACAUUCGAUGGUUCCCUUGGUUGCUAUUAAAAUUAUUCGACUUUCAGUGUCAGCAUCAACUAACUUCUAUUGAUUGUUCAGCCUUUCGCCUGUAUUAUUGGAUUACGUAUUCAGUUGAGUGUUAUCUCCAUUUGGCUUAUUUGCAUUAGACACAGCGAAGCGCCUAACAAGUCCUAAAUUUAUCAUUUCUCAGUAGCCUCUUCUUCCUUCUUAUUUUUUCACGUCCAAGGGUUCAGAACAGUAAUCCUAUAUCUGAGAUGAACCGUGCAGUGGUUUCCAGAUCAGGCAGUUCUCCGUAUAGUUUUUCUUCUAUAGGAGGGUUUGGGGGCCAGAGCCAACGCUAAAUGUAUGAUCUCUCAGUAGCAAACACAAGUUUUUACAAUUCUGUGCCACAUUGUCAGCUAGCUUUUUAAACUAUUGUUUAAGGAUCUUAUAGAAUCCUAAAGACAUUACAGCACUAGGGAGAGUAGUAUCUUCUAGCUCUCUGAAUAACACUUGUAGAUGAUGUUGUGUACCCUUGACAGCUUUCAUAACAUCGUAAAUCUACUCCCUUGUGACUGAUACUGUCUUGGAAAUGUCGGUUGAUUCUGGUUUUGAGGUUGUCUUUGUCUACUAGACGCAUAGUAGUAUUGAUUAUUAUUUUGUCAUCACAUGUGAUCAUAGGACAAAUGACCUGUUUUUCUGCGUCUAUUGUCUGCGUCAAGUGUAACUAAAAAAUGUCAAGGACACUGAAUUGACCCUGAAUGUUGCCAACUGAAUAUAAAAAAAAGUAUAAAAUUCUUGAUGUUUUCUUUUAUGAAUACACUAGCCUAUAAUUCUAUAGUACAUAUCCAUGUGUCAAAUAUAUUUUAUAAGCCCGAAGAUGUGAAACUGAACUCAUAAUUUGUAAUAGCUUGUUAAUAAAUCUCAAGAUCUAGUUUUUAAAUGCAAUGGUAUUCUGUUUAGAUAAGCCAAAUCUAAAGAUCAGAACUAUUAUUGUAGCUAAACAACAUCAAUUGUUGACAUCAUAUUUGUAAAUGAUAGACUAGAUCUACAUAGUUUAGAUUUCAUUCUAAUUUAUUGACAACAUUAUUAAACUCAACUCUACAUUCCUGAGAAGUUGUCAUUUGCACCCGGUUGAUCUUCAUAUCAACGUUGUUUUAUUACCUGUCGUAAAUUGCCCUGUUUUUAAAUUAGUUUGGAGUUGUGCCACUGUCUUAAAGUUAAAAUUCUAAUGAUUCGUCCAUUACGAGUUGAUUCUGUGCUAGAAAUGGAAGAGCUUGGAAGAAAAUUUGUAUCUGUAGUGCUUAAAAGUGCUAAAAAAAUUAUCGCAUGUCUUU
rnacentral:sRNA from 1 species